ensembl:lncRNA
UGCGGAGCCGGUGAGCUCGGAGCCGCCCUUCGAGUGUGGAACGCGUGGUUCUCCGCCGGAAAGUUUCUCCGAGGUCAAGUAAACUACUGAAAAACUACAUAAACACCAUAAAUCAGUCCUUCUGACCAACCGCAGAACACCAGCAGCUGCUGAAGUCCUGGUGCAUAUAAACCUGUGGUGAAGUCAGCUUUCCACAUUUCUGCAUACAAUUCUGAAGUGGAGCAUUUUAAGGAACCAAAAGAGACCACUCCUGACACUGGAACUUAGCAGUUGGAGUAAUGGAGCUGCUGCAUGUCUGAGGAAUGAAUCUUGGUUCAAACAGUGUCUGUAGCAGAACUGGGACCAGAGUUCUUGAUCUUCACUCUUCAGACUGUUGCUCCGUAUGCUCAACUGUUUUGUACACUACUUUGUUUGGGUCACCACUACUUGAGAAUAUAAUAUGGGAGAUUUUUCUGCUUCAAGAGUGCAUUUUUCUGCAUACGAUUUUUCUGCACAUGGCUACACCACUUAUUUCAUACUGUGAUGCUCCUGAUGGAGGAAGAUGGAGAUGGCACUGGAUUCUGUGACAGAAGGAAAGAAUGCAGGAAAUAACUCCCCAGUUCACUUGAUUUUUUACCUGAUGAUUUACAAGAAGCCCUUGAAAGUCCUGGCUAAACGCAGUGUUACAAGUAACUUCUAGACAUAUUCUUGGUGGUGAAUUGUGAGCGGAGCACCUGCACUCCUGUAGGAAUCCUGCACAGAAUCCCUGCACUCAUGUCCUACUGGAGGUGGGAGUUGUUUUCCUGACAGAGCCACCCAUUUAAUGCCAAGGGUGACCUCCACAGCACUGACGGCUUCUGCCUGGGCUUGAAACACUAGUUUUGAUACAAAGACCCUUAUAGUUAAACGACACACCAUAAAAGAAGGUAUAGCAAGAUCUUCUUGGAAAAAUACGCCAUCGCAAUGGCAGAAGUCAAAACCCUUCACCACUGCUAUUCAUCUACAAAUGGAAAUCAUGCAGCCUCCCUGAAAUAAAGACCUAUUAAGAAAUCAUCAUUCAUCACUAGCCCUCAUCAACCCAGGCGGCUGAUAAUCGAGGUUCUCUCUAACCUCUGUGUCAAAGUAUAAUUACUUGGAAGGUUCUGAACUGAGAUAGUGUCUUUCUCUUCAAAUAUUCUAACAAAAUGGCAAUUUAAAAUGGGCUUGGACAUGGAAAUAGCUCCAGGCACCACAAUGCUGACCUCUCCGUUGGCACAGGGAGUGAAUGAAUGAGUGCACUCAUACUUCUGAAAAUAAAAUAUUAGCAUUCUCCAAGCAUCAAAAUAGCACGGCUACAGGAACAAGCAGGAAAGCCCCCAAGAAGCUCAGGGGCCUUUUGCUGAGGGCCCUCACCAAGCUAUGCUGAGGACGCCCUGGCCUCACUAGACCCCAGAGCAGUGGCACUCCUCAUAAGGAUGCUGCAUAGGCAAACUCACACUACUGCCUGUAGCUGGUUCCUCUUAGGAUGUAACAGCAAAGAAAGCCUCUACUUGUACACCUUAUUUGAUAACGAAGAAUGUUGCCUAUGCUUUCCCCAAAUUAUUAUGACAGUAAUGUGAAGAUUUAAGCAUUCCUACUAUACCUCUGUAGCUGCUUCUCAGCAUGAAAUGCCAGAGCAGAGACUCAACACCACAGAAGACUGCACAAAUAAUAACAAAAAAAUAUAUAGAUUCAGCUGGGUUGCACUUCUGUAUAGACACUGCAGUUUACUCCCUCUCAGUGUCUGGAGAUGCGAUUAAGAUGACAAAGAGGAUCAAGAGGAAGGUCACUAGCUACUGUCAUCUCUCACUCAGAAAACACACAAACACAAAAUGUGUGAGAGUAGAAGUCAUUAGGCUUGUAGCAGAACUACAGCUGUGGGUGAGAGAAGGGAGAGCAGCCUUUAGAAAAGAGGUAGUAUGUGUAUAAUACUGCUUUCCCUCCAGGCACCUGAACUUCAUGAAGUACAAAGCUACCAACACUGACCGAGGAGUAGCUGAAAGGGGCCCUUGGUAAAAAGCACCUGUAUUUUUGAAGUCAAGACCUUGUAUCACAUUUUCAGACAACUAAAUCUCCAUGUAAUGCUCAUGAAACGCGUAUCUACACAGGGUAUCUUGCAGUUCAAGGCAUUAAUAAACCCACAGCAAGCUGCCAUCUGGGAAAAACUGUGUUUUGCGAACCUGUGCAGGAGGACACAAAGGAAAUGUGCAGUACAUAUUUUCAGAGUUCUAAUUUCUAACUCUGGUCAAGAGUGCUCUCAGUUAUGAACAGAUAAGAUUUUUACUCAAACUUUAAAAAAGACUAAAAAGUAAUUAUCUGUAUUCUGCUGUAGGUAAAUCCAUACUACCUACAUAAAUACCUACAGCUUCUUAUGCAACUAAUAUGCAAAGUAAUUUAGCAUCGCUGAAAUUUUCGAGACUUCCUGUGCACUCACAUUGAGUAAGGAACGUAAGAGUAUAUUUUAACACAUUCCUCACGUACGCAACAAUACAUCAAUGUGACAGUCUCACCCAUUCAUAUACACAUUUAUCCGUAUGCUUCUAAAGUAAGCAUUCUAAAGUAAGCACUGACAUUCUAGAGAAAAAAAUUCAAGAUUUGUAUCUUUAUAUUUUUGACACCCACCUGCUAUGUGUUACAGUGUUUUAUUAAGUUUACAUUAAAACAAAACUAUUUGCAAUCUGACACUAAAAAAAAUCAGUUUUUGUACUGAUGAGACUCACAGGACUGCAAUGAAACAUACAACAGAAGGGAAAUCAAUUGAUAAAUUAUUGUAUUCAGGACCUCACAUAAAGAGAAAUUCUCUAGGAGAAAAUAAUGUGGUUGACUUUUUCAAGCUCCACUUAACUUAACCCUUAUUUACAGUAGCAUCCUGAAAAAUGAAUGCUACUGUAUUUCAGAAACCAACUGGUUUUCCAACCACCUUAGAAAAGGUAAAAAAAUAUAUAUACAUUUCAAUUUACAAGCCGGUAUUCUUGAAAGCAUCAAUCUUGAUGAAUCCUUUGCUCUGCUAAGCAUGCUGUAUCUGAACAAUAAUAGUUCAUCAACAGAAGAGUGACUGAUAUAAAUAAGAGAGAAAAAAAUAUGCCUUGAAAGAACUUCUCUUCAUCUCGUAUCUGUAAGAAUUGCAUGAUAAAGGACUGGAUAGAAUUUAGCAAUAAAAGCAAGAGUUACAGAGAGUACUUGCUUCUCAAAAGCAGACACCAGCUACCACUUCAACCUGAAGGUGCCUAUGCCCUCCCUAACCUUGAAUCCCCUAAGCUCUGAG